rnacentral:rRNA from 1 species
UGAGGAAUCUUGCGCAAUGGGCGAAAGCCUGACGCAGCCACGCCGCGUGGAGGAAGACACCCCUCAGGGGCGUAAACUCCUUUUGUACGGGAAGAACACCCUGCUCGGCAGGGUCUGACGGUACCGUACGAAUAAGCACCGGCUAACUCCGUGCCAGCAGCCGCGGUAAUACGGAGGGUGCAAGCGUUGUCCGGAAUCACUGGGUGUAAAGGGUGUGUAGGCGGACGUGUAAGUCAGGGGUGAAAGCCACCGGCCUAACCGGUGAACUGCCCUUGAUACUGCACGUCUUGAGUCCUGGAGGGGUCACUAGAAUUCGUGGUGUAGCGGUGAAAUGCGUAGAUAUCACGAGGAAUACCAGAGGCGAAGGCGGGUGACUGGACAGGUACUGACGCUGAGGUACGAAAGCGUGGGGAGCGAACAGG